rnacentral:rRNA from 1 species
CCUGAAAAAUAGGCAUAGGGGGUCCUGCCUGCCCAGUGACUGAAAAGUUAAACGGCCGCGGUAUCUUGACCGUGCGAAGGUAGCAUAAUCAUUUGUCUCCUAAAUAGAGACUGGUAUGAAUGGCAAGACGGAGCUUCACUGUCUCCUCCUCUUUGAUCUGAACUUCACAUUCCCGUGAAGAGGCGAGAAUUAGUUCGUAAGACGAGAAGACCCUGUCGAGCUGUAGCUAAAUUUUAAUUGUUGUUUACUAUUAGCCCUAACUAAUUAUAAUAAGAGUAGCAGGCCUAAAGCAUGGCAAAUUAAAACAAGCUUUGAUUGGGGCAAUCCCGGAGAAAGAAAAUCCUCCGCUACUAUAUGGUUAUAUUAACCUAAAAUAAAAGAAUUAUUUUUCUUAAAUCAUAAAAAUGAAGGUAUGAUCCACUUACAGUGAUCAAAAGAACAAG